AGUAGAGUCAGCUAACUAAGCUCUUGGGCCCAUACCCCAAAAAUGUGGGUUAAAAACCCCCCUUUACUA
rnacentral:tRNA from 1 species